GUGUCUUUGUCUACUUGUGACUCAAAAAUUUUACCCAAGCAUUGUUGCCAUAUUUCUGCAACCCCUACUGAGAAAAAAUCCUGGAACUUCCUGUCCUCCAUAACUGAGAUAUAUCUUAGUAGUCCAUCUUCGUGUGGGAAUAUCAAUGUGGCCCAGGUGAAAGUGAAAACCAAGACAGGAUACCACUUAGAAUGUGCAAAUGGUUUUGGACUCAUGGGCUUUCUUGAAGCCGUGGUCAGCAGGUUUAGAGACCCCACCCCCGAUGACGUUGAGUUCCUUAAACAACUUAAAUUGUUGCACGAUCAGUUUGAUGAGGUAUUUUCAGCAAGCACUGCCAACAGCUCCUCCUUUAAGGUCGCCGCCUGGUAACCAUGGACACUUGGCUAAAAACGCAUGUGUGGUCCCUGAAUGUUAUGCAGAGAGACUCAGUAAUGGAUUUUCUACCUCAAUCCUGGAUAGACUACUUACAACUCUCCGCGUUUUCAUCCAAGAAGCUUGAGCAGAUUAUGGCUGCAGUAGAAAACAGAAGAAAACAAAAUAUUGUCUAUCCUGAUAGUGAGGAUGUGAUGCGCUGGGCAUUUUCCUGCCCUCCUGAAAAUGUUAGGGUUGUUAUUCUGGGACAGGAUCCCUAUCAUGGGGGCCAGGCCAAUGGUUUGGCCUUUAGUGUUCAUGAAAACUUUCCAGUCCCACCGAGCUUACACAACAUUUUCCAAGAACUUAAAAGGUCAGUGCCUGAUUUUCAAAUUCCCCCUUCUGGCUGUCUUGAUAAGUGGGCAGAACAGGGAGUUCUUCUGCUUAACUGCAUCCUGACUGUAGAUAAGGGACGGCCUGGUUCUCACCACAAACUUGGAUGGGGAUGGUUCACAGACUAUGUCAUUUCUACAAUCUCUGAAAAGAAUGAUAAGUGUGUUUUUAUGCUGUGGGGAAACAAGGCAAUAGAAAAGGAAGUUCUGAUCAAUGGCAGUAAGCAUCUUGUAUUAAAGGCGCAACAUCCUUCCCCCCUGGCAUCUCUUGGUGGCUACUCAUCAAAACAGGCCCCGUUUUUGGGCUGUAACCACUUUUCAAUUGCCAACACAUAUUUAACGCAGCACAACAAACCCUCAAUUUCUUGGAACUUAUAAUGGACCCCUUUAAGAAACCAGUGAGAAUGUUGCCCAUAAAGGGGGCCCCGAUCUCUCGACCAAUAAGUGUUUUUACAUUUGACGUGUUUAACCCCCCGGACGAUUCCGAUGGGUCAUCAACUCCAGACUCAGUGUUUGAGGCGGAGACCAGCCCAGCAAGAACUCCUCCAACUCCCGCCUUGAUUCUACCCUAUGAUUAUGUGAGCAGUGAAGACUCUGAUGAUGAAGCACAAGAACAUGCGGAUAACCGGGACACUAAUGACCAGGUCAGCGAGUCAAGUACAAGUGAGGACUCUGAUUCAGAGUCUGAAAGUUCAUGUGACGAUACCCAGCAGACUUUCGUGGACGAUGAGUCCACCAGCUCUUCUGGCGAGGAAGACAGAGAUGAUCCUUUUGAGUCAAAUGACCAGGGCGCGCAGGGCGGGUCGACCUCUGAGUCUGAGGAUGACCUCCCUGCAAUACUGAGGGCUGCACGCGAGACACAAAGUGACAGCUCUAGUGACAGUUCCGGCAACUCCCAUAAAAAAAGGCGAGUGCAGGAAGAAGAAAGUAGUCGCAUCUUGAAAACCCCAGCCCCCAUUUCUGGUAAUGGAAAAUAUAACUGGCCAUGGUUGGAUUGAAACUUUAUUCAAUAAAAAUUAAUAUACAAGUA
rnacentral:tmRNA from 1 species